UAAUACGGAGGGUCCGAGCGUUAAUCGGAAUUACUGGGCGUAAAGCGCACGCAGGCGGUUUGUUAAGCUAGAUGUGAAAGCCCCGGGCUCAACCUGGGAAUAGCAUUUAGAACUGGCAGGCUAGAGUCUUGGAGAGGGGAGUGGAAUUUCUGGUGUAGCGGUGAAAUGCGUAGAUAUCAGAAGGAACAUCAGUGGCGAAGGCGACUCCCUGGCCAAAGACUGACGCUCAUGUGCGAAAGUGUGGGUAGCGAACAGGAUUAGAUACCCUGGUAGUCCACACCGUAAACGCUGCCUACUAGCUGUUUGUGGAUUUAAUCCGUGAGUAGCGAAGCUAACGCGAUAAGUAGACCGCCUGGGGAGUACGGCCGCAAGGUUA
rnacentral:rRNA from 1 species